rnacentral:rRNA from 1 species
CGAAAUGCGAUACUUGGUGUGAAUUGCAGAAUCCCGUGAACCAUCGAGUUUUUGAACGCAAGUUGCGCCCGAAGCCUUUGGCUGAGGGCACGUCUGCCUGGGCGUCACGCAUCGCGUCUCCCCCAAACCCACCUCGAGUGGAGGGGAAGGACGAU